CGAAGGACCCGAGCGUUAUCCGGAUUUAUUGGGUUUAAAGGGUGCGUAGGCGGACUAAUAAGUCAGUGGUGAAAGCCCAUCGCUUAACGGUGGAAUUGCCAUUGAUACUGCUAGUCUUGAGUAUGGUUGAGGUGGGCGGAAUGUGUCAUGUAGCGGUGAAAUGCUUAGAUAUGACCCAGAACACCAAUUGCGAAGGCAGCUCGCUAAGCCAUAACUGACGCUGAGGCACGAAAGCGUGGGGAGCAAACAGGAUUAGAUACCCUGGUAGUCCACGCCCUAAACUAUGAUAACUCGUUGUUGGCGAUACACAGUCAGCGACUAAGCGAAAGCAUUAAGUUAUCCACCUGGGAAGUACGACCGCAAGGUUG
rnacentral:rRNA from 1 species